ACUGGUGUUAGGAGUUUUAAAUAGAUGGGACCUUCAGCUCAGCUGGAACCAGCUGGUGAUUUGAAGCUCUUCUACUGCACAUUUACACUUCAUACGUCUUCUUUCCUUCAUUCCAGCUCUUCCAGUAUGGCGACACUGUGGAUACACGCCAUCUCAGUUCUGCUCUUACUGGCCGUGACCCGUCCGAGCACAGAAGCCACUAGUGUACAGACUCUGUGUGGCGCUGAACUGGUGGAUGCCCUUACCGAAGUCUGUGGAGGCAGAGGCUUCUACUACAAAACACGCACAUCAAAACGAUCGGUUACGGAGACCUGCUGUUUCUGGCCCUGCAGCCCCUCUGUUCUGGCAAGCUAUUGCGCCCCCUGAGCUGGCAGGCACCAGCGCGUAUACCUGUCACUUUCUGCUCAGUUAGCAUAGCUUAGCUUUUUAGCUGACUUAGCAUGCAACACUAAAUUAAUCCAUAACUCCUUCCCACCUGGAGGCCCGUUGCGUGGAGACGUUGCGGAUAGCCAGCUGUUUGGGUCAAUGUGCCAAUGAAUUGAUGGCAAUAUUUUUCCUAGAAAAUAAAGUUUUAUGAGUUUAGAAGUUUGAAGAGUUAUCUUUUAUCCUUCCUUCUGUUGAUCUUUAUUCAUUUUAUCCAUUAGCCACUAGUAUAAUUUAAUUGACUUUAACGUAAAUAAAACACACUGUCAAGUUCCUUGGCAGUGUUUCCUGUA